GUUGACCACAGAUAACUGAAACCACAGAAAACAAAACCAUGGAUAAGGGAGGACUACUAUACUGACUUCCAUGGGCCUGUGGUCCCACAUGUUUGGAUUGGGGACCCCUGCCAAGGCACCGAAUACCACGAAGGUACAGAAGUCACAGGAAAAAGCCAUUUCCCCGACUCUCAUUGUGGAUCACGUGCUGUGCUGCUGAGAAUGCUAAAGCCUGUCACACCCGAAAACAGCAUUUUCUACUGGAAUUUGCAACCGGAUGUCCCAUUUGGCCCCCUUCCUGCUAAGGAAACCCCUUGCUGACUGCGUCAGGCACAUUUCAAAGGAGGGGCAUCUCAGACUGUCAGAGCCAGUCCCCGGGCCGUUGUGUUCCAGGAGGUCACUGAAAGGACAUCACCACCAACUGACCCGCUGGCUAGAUCUGGGCACCGGGAAGCUCCUCAGGCCCCCACCCUACCUCACUCCUCCAUCUUUGGAAUGUUCCGCCCACCCACCAUUUCUGCAUAAGGAGCUGUUCCAAGGACGCAUCCUUGAGAGAGUAAGGUGUUGCUGAGACCAUCUGGAUAGGAUACGUUACUCAACCCAGUUAAGGCCUCUAUAUAAACUUUGAAGAUUCUGGCGGCGGGUGCGGAGACCCACUCGUCUUGCGGCGGCCAUCCUAGACAAGCCUGGUAGGUCAGCAUUCCAAGGAUGGUGUCACUGUGCUAAAGUCAAGAUGUUGACAAUGUCGGUUCCUUCUGGAGGUUCUGGGAAACUUCUCCUCCCCAAGUGUGCACCCAGGUUUAGCCAAUGUGUUGAUCCACAUUGGUAGAAGAAAUAUGAACCUCACGAAUGACUCCUCCUCUAGCCAUUCCUAUUCAUUUAAGAGGAGAAUUACAAUGAACAGAAGAAUGCAUGAACUUAGAUUCUCAAGGUCAUCUCAAAUCCUGAAGUCCCUGGUUUCUGUGAUAGGG